GACGAACGCUGGCGGCGUGCCUAAUACAUGCAAGUCGAACGCAGUGGGGACGGGUGCGUAACACGUGGCUAACCUCCCAUCAGAGGGGAUAACCCUUGGAAACAGGUGCUAAACCGAUACUGAUGGAUGGACUCGCGGUGCAUUAGCGAGUCGGUGGGGAAACGGCUCACCAAGGCCACGAUGCCUAGCCGGCCUGAGAGGAUGAUCAGCCACACUGGGACUGAGACACGGCCCAGACUCCUACGGGAGGCAGCAGUGGGGAAUCUUCGACAAUGGACGAAAGUCUGACCGAGCAACGCCGCGUGUAUGAAGAAGGCUUUCGGAUCGUAAAGCUCUGUUAUUGGGGAGGCGGUAUCUAACCAGGAAGCCACGGCUAACUACGUGCCAGCAGCCGCGGUAAUUC
rnacentral:rRNA from 1 species